rnacentral:lncRNA from 1 species
CUGUAAUCCAGCAGCACAGGAGACUGAGGCAGGGGGAUUGCGAGUUCAAAGCCAGCUUCCAGGGCUGGGGCUGCAGCUGGGUGGCAGAGCGCUUGCCUAGCACAUGUGAAGCAUUGGGUUUGAUCCUCAGCACCACAUAAAAACGAACAAAUAAAAUAAAGGCAUCCUGUCCAUCUGCAACUAUAAAAAAAUUUUUAAAAAUUAAGGGGAAAAAAACCCAAAAAACAAAAAAACACCAGCCUCAGCAACUUAGUGAGUCUCUAAGCAACUUAGCAAGACCCCGUCUCUAAACAAAAAAUAAAAAGGACUGGGGAUGUGGCUAAGUAGAUAAGGCCCCUGGGUUCAAUCUCUGGUUAAAAAAAAAAAAAUUACCAUAUUAGAAAUGAAAACUGACAAUAUUUUCAAAUGUUUAUUAAUUAAUUAAAAAUAUAAAUAGCAAACCCAGUACAUGUGCACAUAUUUGUGAAAAACAGCUAAAUCUCUCAAGAUAAAAAUACCUCCUGAACAAAGUGGCAUUGUUUCACAGUUUUGCAAACCCUUUGAGCAUGUAGCUCUUUUUGUGUGUGUGGUACUGGAGAUUGAACCCAGGGCCUUGUGCAUGCAAGGCAAGCACUCUACCAGCUGAGCUAUAUCCCCAGCCCUGAUCACCCAGCUUUAAUAGAACAUGGCUUGAUUCUCAACUUGAUUCCCAUCAAUGUGUCUCACUCACUACAUCUUUUUGGUUGAAGUUUGUGAAGAAAAUCAGACCUCACACAAAUAUUCACUUAGAAAAAUGAGGACUGGGCUGGGGAUGUGGCUCAAGCGGUAGGGGGCUCGCCUGGCAUGCAUGCGGCCCGGGUUUGAUCCUCAGCACCUCAUACAAAGAAAGAUGUUGUGUCCGCUGAAAAAACUAAAAAAUAAAUAUUAAAAAUUCUCUCUCUCUCUCUCUCCUCUCUCCCUCUCUCUUUAAAAAAAAUCUUCUCCCAUUACCACUGAAACACUUAAAAAAAAAAAAAGAAAAAUGAGGACUAUUUUAAUAAUGUUUCAUAUCAUUGUGAAUAGUCUUUUUUGAUACAACACCAAAAUUGAACAAGUGUGGUUUCUUAACCCAAUAUGUCCCAAGUUUUCAAUUCUAUAAACAAGAAUUAUUUCAGAGUGACCCCAAGUGGUGUAUUUGUUGCUCAAUUUGUUG